GACGAACGCUGGCGGCGUGCUUAACACAUGCAAGUCGAACGGAAAGGCCCUGCUUUUGUGGGGUACUCGAGUGGCGAACGGGUGAGUAACACGUGAGUAACCUGCCCUUGACUUUGGGAUAACUUCAGGAAACUGGGGCUAAUACCGGAUAGGAGCUCCUGCUGCAUGGUGGGGGUUGGAAAGUUUCGGCGGUUGGGGAUGGACUCGCGGCUUAUCAGCUUGUUGGUGGGGUAGUGGCUUACCAAGGCUUUGACGGGUAGCCGGCCUGAGAGGGUGACCGGCCACAUUGGGACUGAGAUACGGCCCAGACUCCUACGGGAGGCAGCAGUGGGGAAUAUUGCACAAUGGGCGGAAGCCUGAUGCAGCAACGCCGCGUGCGGGAUGACGGCCUUCGGGUUGUAACCCGCUUUCGCCUGUGACGAAGCGUGAGUGACGGUAAUGGGUAAAGAAGCACCGGCUAACUACGUG
rnacentral:rRNA from 1 species